GACGAACGCUGGCGGCGUGCUUAACACAUGCAAGUCGAACGGUGACGGCAGAGCUUGCUCUGCCUGAUCAGUGGCGAACGGGUGAGUAACACGUGAGUAACCUGCCCCUCACUUCGGGAUAACCUCGGGAAAUCGUGGCUAAUACCGGAUAUGAGACCUGACUGCAUGGUCGGGUCUGGAAAGAUUUAUCGGUGGGGGAUGGACUCGCGGCCUAUCAGCUUGUUGGUGAGGUAACGGCUCACCAAGGCGACGACGGGUAGCCGGCCUGAGAGGGCGACCGGCCACACGGGGGGUAAAGUGCGCCCGAGACUCCGACGGGCGGCAGCGGUGGGGAAUGUUGCACAAUGGCCGACGGCCUGAUACAGCGGCGCGGGGGGGGGGAAAAAGGCCUUGGGGUUAAAACCCUCGUCCAGCGGGGAAAACGGGAACGUGAGGCCCCUUGAAGAAGAGCCCCCGCAUACCUAGGGG
rnacentral:rRNA from 1 species